rnacentral:rRNA from 1 species
AGGUUUCCGUAGGUGAACCUGCGGAAGGAUCAUUAAUGAAAAGUUCUUUUAGAACCAAUCAUCACCCCUUUGUUUACUUACCAUGUUGCUUCCACUGGACAGGUUGGCCCCUCAAAAGGUCAACCCUCUGGCUUCGUGCUGGGGAGUGCCGGUGGAUAACCCACACAAAAAAACUUGAACCAAAACCUAAAUAAGCAAUUUUGUCUGAAUAAGUUUUUAUAAACCUUUAUAAAACUUUCAACAACGGAUCUCUAGGCUCUUGCAUCGAUGAAGAACGCAGUGAAAUGCGAUACGUAAUGUGAAUUGCAGAAUCUCGUGAAUCAUUGAAUCUUUGAACGCACAUUGCGCCUUAUGGUAUUCCAUAAGGCAUGCCUGUCUGAGCGUCAGCUCCCCCCCACUCAAGCUCUUUUGCUUGGAAUAUUUUGGGCAAGCAGCCGUAACAAGUUGCUGUCCACAAAUUCAUAGGCAGUAUGGUCUUUUCCAAGCUGAACGUAAUAAUUAAAAAAAUCACGUUUACUUUGAGAGAUAUUGUACUCGCCCUUAACCCACAAAUCUUUUUUAUGGGUGACCUCAGAUCAGGUAGGGAUACCCGCUGAACUUAAGCAUAUCAAUAAGCGGA